rnacentral:rRNA from 1 species
UACGGAGGGGGCUAGCGUUGUUCGGAAUUACUGGGCGUAAAGCGCACGUAGGCGGCUUUGUAAGUUAGAGGUGAAAGCCCAGGGCUCAACCCUGGAAUUGCCUUUAAGACUGCAUCGCUAGAAUUGUGGAGAGGUAAGUGGAAUUCCGAGUGUAGAGGUGAAAUUCGUAGAUAUUCGGAAGAACACCAGUGCGAGGACGGACUUACUGGACACAUAUUGACGCUGAGGUGCGAAAGCGUGGGGAGCAAACAG